rnacentral:rRNA from 1 species
AUUGAACGCUGGCGGCAUGCCUUACACAUGCAAGUCGAACGGUAACGGGCCUUCGGGUGCCGACGAGUGGCGAACGGGUGAGUAAUGCAUCGGAACGUACCUUUCAGUGGGGGAUAACGUAGCGAAAGUUACGCUAAUACCGCAUAUUCUGUGCGCAGGAAAGCAGGGGAUCGCAAGACCUUGCGCUGAUUGAGCGGCCGAUGUCAGAUUAGCUAGUUGGUGAGGUAAAGGCUCACCAAGGCGACGAUCUGUAGCGGGUCUGAGAGGAUGAUCCGCCACACUGGAACUGAGACACGGUCCAGACUCCUACGGGAGGCAGCAGUGGGGAAUUUUGGACAAUGGGGGCAACCCUGAUCCAGCCAUGCCGCGUGAGUGAAGAAGGCCU